AUGUUGACAAAGAAAAGAAAGCACGAGAAGGCAGGGGUGGCUUCUCACCUUGCUGUUCGUGGCGAGGCCGGAAGACACGGGACGGACGACAGCGAAUUCAGGACGUUAGCAAUGGCAGUCAACGUCGAGGAAGUAGGAGAGACCCGUGGCUUCAAAUCCUUGGUCCAGAGGAGACGCGGAGCCCGUCACGGUCCCUACAGUUGCUCGGGGAGGAUGACGACCGCGGCGGCGUCGCAACGGCGGCUAACGGAACAGAGGAAGGCGACCUCGGUCCAUAAGUUUGCUGCAUGCUCGGUGUCCAGGAAUCGCAUCAGAACGACGGCCGGAGCUGAACAGAAUUAGGGAAACUACCUAGCAUCAAGGACUCACUGGAAAAAUGAGGCGAUUCACGGCGGCGUCCAGCAGACCUGCAUGUUGGACCCUGGGGCGUGGACGUCAAGCCGGACCGAGGGCUGGUGGAUCCCGCCGGUUCCUAUGGCUGGAGUUGCUGCGGCGAGCGGCGGCGUCCCCAGCAAGCCCGACCAGUAAGGCCUCGUUUGGUUGCAUGGGAUCCCGGAGGGAACCCCGCUUAUUCCCCGGGCGGUAAAAGCACGGGCCAGAUCAAGCCGGGGAAAUCGAGCGCGACGUUUGGACGGAUUCGUUGGGGGGGCAUCCCUGCCCUACCCGCGUCGUUUCCCCGGGGAAACGUUCCACGCCUCUAGGGGUCGGGGAGAGAAGCCACGGCUCGAGCGAGACCGAGAGCGCAGCGACCGAAAGGCGGCGAGCCGGCGACGGCCAAGAUCCAGUCCUCCUCCUCCGAGUUUCCCCGGCAGCGACCGGAGAGACGGACCGCCCCCUCCCUCCGGUGCUCCGCCUCCAUGCUCCGUCCACCAGCGACCGCAACGUCCGUGGUCGUCGCGCUCCUCCUUCCCCAGAUCUCCCCUCCUCCUCGAAGUUCCUGUCCCCUCCGGUGACGGCAACGGCGGCGGUUCCGCGGUCAAUUUCCACCUACUUCGACCAAGGGAAACUGAUGCCAGAACUUGCUGGUCCAGAUCCAAGAACCCGAGCCUUCUCUUCUAAAUAAUUUCACAUGGCGUAGACAAAAUUUACUUCAUUGGUGCUCUGAGCCUCUGACAUUAGCAAAUGAUUUGCUUUAUCCGAAAACGCUAGGCGGUGGCGGCGGCGUUGUGUUCAGUGGCUAAGUGCCUUUUGGUUCUUUGGUCAUUGAAAAGAUUUCACCUAAUGAAGAAAGGGUCUUGCUUAAGCAAGAGAAAGUACUGCCAAGUAUCAACUAGCUAGUUACAGAUUCACUCAUCAGGGAAGUAACUUGUAACAGCAGUGGAGUGUGGGCACGUGCCAUAUAUCUAUUAGUAAUUUGGUACUUACAUCGUGCUUGUGCUAGCUCCAGGUUUGAAUCUUCCUUAGUACACUAUUUUUAGAAGUGAUGCUUACUGUUGGAUAGGGUCUUCUUCUGAAGAACAAUAACAAUUUUUUAUAUUUGUUACAGAAGUUCUGCUAUGCAUUCAUUUACACUUACGACACUGCUGGAGAAUACAUUGUUUGUCAAUUGUUUGUUUGGCUGCUUUACGUCCUUUUAUAGAUAGAGGCCUUUACUUCUCCGCACUAAAAAAUCCAUGUUUGUUUUGUCCUUACUUUUCCCAUUAUACAUUUUUUGUCCCCAUUUUUACUAAUUUUGGAAUUAUAUAUUGGCGGGAAGCUUCACAAUAAAGAUAUAUUGCUUAUCAUCUUCCAUUCUCCCGUCUUAAGUUAUUUAGUAAUUAUUACUGAAAUGUACGACACUAACCUGAAACAGAAGUUAGUAUUUUGGCUCUUAUCUUUUUUCUCAACAAGUUCUGCUGAUUGUUAUUAAAAAUCUAAGCUAUAGUCAUCAUGUGUUCAUGUAAUUGUUACAAUUCUCAGUUGGAUACAUGGUGCUAACUUUCUUACUUUUUUUUGUAGUUCAACGAACAUCGAGUUGUGGUACUUGAUGUCGAUGCGGAGUGGCGAAAAGACCUGAAUAGGACUAGUGAUUUUCACCUUGCAACUCAAUCCUAUUCGAAAGUGUGUAUGCCUUGGACAUGUGAUAAUUCAGAACCUUCUGUAGUGAACAAACUUAAAUAAUGGUGCAUCAAUGCCAAUUGUAUUGAUUGCUUUUAUGUUGGCACACGAAAAACGGUUUAGGUCAACGCUUGAUUGCAAUGAAAUGCAAAGCGAUGGAUAUUUGAACCUUGGUGAGGUGAUGGAUAUCAGUUGUAUUUUUUUUGAUGAAAUUAUAGUUUACAUGAAUUCUGAAGUUUUUUGUAUGCGUCUAUUGUUUUUGAAAAAUUAUUUGUGAAAUUUUUAUCUUUGAUCUUUUCUUUAUCAUCUUUGAUCUGUUGUGUUAUAUCUGUAUGCUGUAUUUGAGGGGUUUCCUUCCCACCCUUGUUGCCAUUUGGGCACAUGGGGUAGUGGGAACAUUUCCCUCCGUGGUGGGAGGAUUUCGUAUGCACAGGAAGAUCUCUCCUAGGGGCCUAUUUCCCUGGAUUUUUUCUCCCCAACAACCAAAUGAGGCCU
rnacentral:rRNA from 1 species